CCCUUCUUGUCACCUGAGUCCCAAAAGGAGCAUUGCUUAAACCCAGAAUGAACAGUCUCUAGAGAAAAAUUCUCUUCACCUUUUGGUCUUCACUCUUCUAAUCUCUGGGGUUCAAGUUUAGUCCUAGGAGCCAGCGGACAAACGGGAAGUCGUUUCUUUCAUUGUCCCCUACAACCACUGUUUUAUUUUAAAAGGGAGAAUCGGAAAAUAUGUGUUGGUAUCGACUAUAUGAUUACCUGUAUCCAGUAUACCAGCGCUCAGUGUGGAUGCUCGAGUGUGAGCCUUCGGUGACGUGUGUACCUGUCCUCCGGGAUGCAUUCCCAGCAGGACUGAGAGCUGGAUACCUGGUCCAUGGUCUACUCGUCACCCUGUGAGGUGGGAAUACUUAUCCUGCUGUCCCGUUUGGAAGGAUUCUGAAUUCAAAAGCUUUGUAAGCUCUCACACUUACUGUGGUGCUGGAUUCCAGGGCGACCCAGUUUUGAAGAAACAAGUUUACAGGUAAGACUUGUUUUAACUCUGUUCUAGAGUGUGUCUUACGCCUAAAUCCUGGAGCACCAGAGAAGUAUCUUGACAAAUAGUGUUACUUGGAAGUCCUUGUCUUUCUGUUGCUUAAGAUUAGUAGGUGAGACUGUCUGUUCACCCCUGUACCCAUUUUUCCAGAUAACAUGUUAUUGGUCUUUUUCUUAUUGAUUUGUAAGAAUUCUUUAUACAUUGG
rnacentral:lncRNA from 1 species